rnacentral:rRNA from 1 species
UACGGAGGGUGCGAGCGUUGUUCGGAAUCACUGGGCGUAAAGGGCGUGUAGGCGGUCCGCUAAGUCUGAUGUGAAAGCCCGGGGCUCACCCCCGGAAGUGCAUUGGAAACUGGCGAACUCGAGUCCCGGAGAGGAGAGUGGAAUUCCUGGUGUAGCGGUGAAAUGCGUAGAUAUCUGGAGGAACACCGGUGGCGAAGGCGGCAUCCUGGACCAACACUGACGCUGAGGAGCGAAAGCCAGGGGAGCAAACGGG